AAAUGAAUAGACGGGGGCCCGCACAAGCAGUGGAGCAUGUGGUUUAAUUCGAAGCAACGCGAAGAACCUUACCAGGGUUUGACAUCCCCUGACAGGCGUGGAAACACGUUUUCCCGGGUUUCCCGGGCAGGGAGACAGGUGCUGCAUGGUUGUCGUCAGCUCGUGCCGUGAGGUGUUGGGUUAAGUCCCGCAACGAGCGCAACCCUCGUCCUUUGUUGCCAGCGGGCAAGCCGGGCACUCAAAGGAGACUGCCGGAGACAAUCCGGAGGAAGGUGGGGAUGACGUCAAAUCAUCAUGGCCUUUAUGCCCUGGGCUACACACGUGCUACAAUGGCCGGUACAGCGGGUAGCGAAGGGGUGACCCUGAGCCAAUCCCAAAAAGCCGGUCCCAGUUCGGAUUGCAGGCUGCAACUCGCCUGCAUGAAGUCGGAAUUGCUAGUAAUCGCGGAUCAGAAUGCCGCGGUGAAUACGUUCCCGGGCCUUGUACACACCGCCCGU
rnacentral:rRNA from 1 species